UGGUCCGUUGGUCAAGGGGUUAAGACACCGCCUUUUCACGGCGGUAACACGGGUUCGAAUCCCGUACGGGCUAU
rnacentral:tRNA from 1 species